ACCUGCUGACUUCCAAAGACAACCAGGACGGGUGACAAGCCCUUGAAGAACUCUGCUCUCCACUAGUGCUUUAUCAGCAAGUGUGGAUCCACCCAUCCCUUUAAGAAUGGGCAGUGUAGCCAGCGAGUUGAUUCAACCAUCCCUUUAAGAAGGCGGAGAUUCACCGUUCCCGUUAAGGCCAGAGGGAGAGUGUGUGGAGUCUUGAUUCUUACAUGAUCGUCGUGGCUUUUCAAAGGCGACCGUGUUGUCUGCAUGUGGACCCCCCCCCCCAUUGGUUGUAUUGACAAGUCGUUGUCUUUCUGAAAGAGUAGUUCUUAACGCCGUCGUCUCUCGUUGUUUCAAGGGAAUACCUUUUUAUAGUACCUCAGUAACAGAUAUUGAAUGUACGUUCAAGCCCUUUUCUUUUUUGUACAGCUUUUGUAGAGACCACUUUGCUAUUCCUGACCAGAAGGGUUGUGAAAAUUGUAACAAUGACGAUGAUAAAUAAGAACCCCACUCAAUAACCGAAUUGACCAAACAACUUUUUAGGAUUUGUCUGCAGUUGUUUUUUCUUUCCCCCCCCACUGUCAAAAAUCUCAGGCACCGAGACCAGUUACUUAUCCUACCAGAGUCUAUGAGGACAUGGACAUGAGGACAUUAUAGGCUCCUGUGUCAUGUGAUGAGUAUAUAUUUUUUUAAAUAUCCCCCAUAGUUUGAAUUAUGAGCUUAAAUAGUGACCUUAAAUUGCCAUUGAUGAUAUUGGUGACAUUUUUUGGUUGUUUUCAGUUCAUCAAUGUGUUCAAAUCCAUUAUUAUUUUUUUUGACUCUUCAGUUGUAAUCGCGCUCACUUUGUGUUCUACAUGUUGUACUGACACAUUUCAGGAACAAACGUUUGAGUUUUGUUGUUGUCUUAGCCGCCCUACUGUAUUUAGCCUCUCCCUGUAUAGUAGCUGUAGAGUUGCCAUGGAAACACUCACUGCCUUAAUGAAUGAAUAA
rnacentral:lncRNA from 13 species